GACGGACGCUGGCGGCGUGCUUAACACAUGCAAGUCGAACGGAAAGGCCCCAGCUUGCUGGGGUACUCGAGUGGCGAACGGGUGAGUAACACGUGGGUGAUCUGCCCUGCACUCUGGGAUAAGCCUGGGAAACUGGGUCUAAUACCGGAUAGGACCGUGCUUUAGUGUGUGCGGUGGAAAGUUUUUCGGUGAAGGAUGAGCCCGCGGCCUAUCAGCUUGUUGGUGGGGUAAUGGCCUACCAAGGCGGAGACGGGUAGCCGGCCUGAGAGGGUGUACGGGCACAUUGGGACUGAGACACGGCCCAGACUCCUACGGGAGGCAGCAGUGGGGAAUAUUGCACAAUGGGCGCAAGCCUGAUGCAGCGACGCCGCGUGGGGGAUGACGGCCUUCGGGUUGUAAACCCCUUUCGGCAGGGACGAAGCUUUUGUGACGGUACCUGCAUAGGAAGCACCGGCUAACUACGUG
rnacentral:rRNA from 1 species